rnacentral:lncRNA from 1 species
CUGAGGUCUGAGGCUGCUGAGGCUGAGGAUGCUUCUGGAACUCGGGACUCGGGGAAGGUUGGCUAGGGUUGAAAGUUGAAAACUUGAACUGACGGUUGAGAUUGGAUGGAGAGAUGAUAUUAAAUCUCGUCCGUCCAAUCUAACACAAACGGGCGUGUCCGGGUACCCACGGAUCCUAUAAUUUUGGAACCGGCCUGCCCCUAAAACUUCAAUUACCCGGCCCGCCCCGCCCCGAUCU